rnacentral:rRNA from 1 species
UACGUAGGGGGCAAGCGUUAUCCGGAAUUAUUGGGCGUAAAGAGUGCGUAGGUGGUUACCUAAGCAGGGGGUGAAAGGCAAUGGCUCAACCAUUGUUAGCCCUCUGAACUGGGUUACUUGAGUGCAGGAGAGGAAAGCGGAAUUCCUAGUGUAGCGGUGAAAUGCGUAGAUAUUAGGAGGAACACCAGUGGCGAAGGCGGCUUUCUGGACUGAAACUGACACUGAGGCACGAAAGUGUGGGGAGCAAACAGG